CCUACGGGAGACAGCAGUGAGGAAUAUUGGUCAAUGGCCGGAAGGCUGAACCAGCCAUGCCGCGUGAAGGUCAGUGCCCUAUGGGAGUUAAACUUCUUUUGUGCGGGAGCAAUAAUGGUCACGUGUGGCCAGACGAGAGUACCGUACGAAUAAGCAUCGGCGAACUCCGGGCCAGUAGCCGCGGGAAUACGGGGGAUGCAAGCGUUAUCCGGGUUUAUUGGGUUUAAAGGGGGCGUAGGCUGUGAGGUAAGUCAGCGGUGAAAUGCCCCCGGUCAACGGGGUGAAGUGCCAUUGAUACUGGCAUGCUGGAGUGCGGAUGCCGUGGGAGGAAUGUGUGGUGUAGCGGUGAAAUGCAUAGAUAUCACACAGAACACCGAUUGCGAAGGCAUCUCACGAAUCCGCGAUUGACGCUGAUGCACGAAAGCGUGGGUAUCAAACAGGAUUAGAUACCCCUGUAGUC
rnacentral:rRNA from 1 species